rnacentral:rRNA from 1 species
UACGAAGGGGGCUAGCGUUGCUCGGAAUGACUGGGCGUAAAGGGCGCGUAGGCGGCCCCGCGCGGUCGGGCGUGAAAGUCCCGGGCUCAACCCGGGGACGGCGCCCGAGACGGCGGGGCUGGAGGCGGGGAGAGGGCCGCGGAAUUCCCAGUGUAGAGGUGAAAUUCGUAGAUAUUGGGAAGAACACCGGUGGCGAAGGCGGCGGCCUGGCCCCGUCCUGACGCUGAGGCGCGACAGCGUGGGGAGCAAACAGG